rnacentral:rRNA from 1 species
CGUGUAGGCGGCUUGGUAAGUCAGAUGUGAAAGCCCUGGGCUUAACCCAGGAAGUGCAUUUGAAACUGUCAGGCUUGAGUAGGGGAGAGGAAGGUGGAAUUCCUGGUGUAGAGGUGAAAUUCGUAGGUAUCAGGAGGAACACCGGUGGCGAAGGCGACCUUCUGGCCCUAUACUGACGCUGAGACGCGAAAGCGUGGGUAGCAAACA